rnacentral:rRNA from 1 species
GACGAACGCUGGCGGCGUGCUUAACACAUGCAAGUCGAACGGAAAGGCCUCUUUCGGGGGGUACUCGAGUGGCGAACGGGUGAGUAACACGUGAGUAACCUGCCCUUGACUUUGGGAUAACUUCAGGAAACUGGGGCUAAUACCGGAUAGGAGCUCCUGCUGCAUGGUGGGGGUUGGAAAGUUUCGGCGGUUGGGGAUGGACUCGCGGCUUAUCAGCUUGUUGGUGGGGUAGUGGCUUACCAAGGCUUUGACGGGUAGCCGGCCUGAGAGGGUGACCGGCCACAUUGGGACUGAGAGACGGCCCAGACUCCGACGGGAGGCAGCAGUGGGGAAUAUUGCACAAUGGGUGGAAGCCGGAUGCAGCAACGCCGUGUGCGGGAGGACGGCCUUCGGGUUGGAAACCGCUUUCGCUCAUGACGAAGCUUUGUGUGACGGUAGUGGGUAAAGAAGCACCGGCUAACUACGUG